rnacentral:tRNA from 1 species
UUCAUGAUGGCUCAGACAGUCAAGCUCCUGCCUGAAAUACAGGAGAUCCUAGUUUGAUCUCUGGGUCAGGAAG